CUGAGUGUGUGUGUGUUUGCCUCGUGCAGUCAGGAUGGUACACUUCGCCUCUGGGACUCAGAGAACCACCUGCUCAGGACUCUGGAGCUGAACGCUGAACCAGAGUGUGUGCAGUUUAGUGGACGAGGAUCAGAGCUUCUGCUGGGAAUCAGAGGAGACAUUUACACAAUCCACUGCACACACCUGCUGCCUCCUGAGUUCCAGACACAGUUGUUGUUUAAUGAGGAUCUGACUCCUGAUCUGCCCAUCACAUGCAUCAACAGCAAGUCCUGCAAACAGAGCAGCCCUGAGAGCUCCAGCAGGGGAGAUGUGAAAUAUCCUAAAAUACUGGAUCAGACCAAAGACCCAGUGAGUGAGUGUGU